rnacentral:rRNA from 1 species
AACUCACUUAGAGUAAUGUCUAAGUAUCAUUAAGUGAAUACAUAGCUUAAUGAGGGGAACUCAGGGAACUGAAACAUCUAAGUACCUGAAGGAAGAGAAAGAAAUUCGAUUCCGUAAGUAGCGGCGAGCGAACGCGGAUUAGCCCAAACCAAUAAAGUUUUCUUUAUUGGGGUUGCGGACAUAUCAUAACGAAGAGGUAUCGUAAUUGAAGAGGUUUGGAAAGACCCACCACAGAAGGUAAUAGUCCUGUAUGUUAAACGAGAAGACUUUAGAUAUGAUCCAGAGUACCACGGGACACGUGAAACCCUGUGGGAAGCAGGAGGGACCACCCUCCAAGGCUAAAUACUACCUAGUGACCGAUAGCGUAUAGUACCGUGAGGGAAAGGUGAAAAGAACCCCGGGAGGGGAGUGAAAUAGAACCUGAAACCCUGCACUUACAAGCUGUGGAAGCACAUUUCUUGUGUGACCGCGUACUUUUUGUAGAACGGGCCAACGAGUUACGUUAAGUAGCAAGGUUAAGCACUUAAGGUGCGGAGCCGUAGCGAAAGCGAGUUUUAACUGAGCGUUCAGUUACUUGACGUAGACCCGAAACCGGGCGACCUACCCAUGAGCAGGAUGAAGCGAAAGUAAAAUUUCGUGGAGGUCCGAACCCACGAGCGUUGAAAAGCUCGGGGAUGACUUGUGGGUAGCGGUGAAAUUCCAAUCGAGCCCGGAGAUAGCUGGUUCUCCCCGAAAUAGCUUUAGGGCUAGCCUCAAGGUGAGAGAUACGGAGGUAGAGCACUGAAUGUCCUAGGGGGUAUUGCACCUACCGAAGACUAUCAAACUCCGAAUGCCGUCAUCUUAUACUUGGGAGUCAGACUGUGGGUGAUAAGAUUCAUAGUCGAAAGGGCAACAGCCAGAUCGUCAGCUAAGGUCCCUAAAUGUAAGUUAAGUGGUAAAGGAUGUGGGAUUGCACAGACAACCAGGAUGUUGGCUUAGAAGCAGCCACUCAUUCAAAGAGUGCGUAAUAGCUCACUGGUCGAGUGAUCCUGCGCCGAAGAUUUCCGGGGCUAAAACUUACUACCGAAGCUACGGCAUCAGUAAUGAUGGGUAGGGGAGCUUCCCAUACGGGUUGAAGCAUGACCGUAAGGACAUGUGGACAGUAUGGGAGUGAGAAUGUUGGCAUGAGUAGCGAGAUGUGGGUGAGAAUCCCACAGGCCGUAAACCCAAGGUUUCCAGGGGAAGGUUCGUCCGCCCUGGGUUAGUCGGGACCUAAGCUGAGGCCGAAAGGCGUAGGUGAUGGACAACAGGUUGAUAUUCCUGUACUACCGAUAACCGUUUGAGAGAAGGGAUGACACAGUAGGAUAAGCUAAGCACACUGUUGGUUAUGUGUGCCCAAGCAUUGAGGCAGUCAAAGUAGGCAAAUCCGCUUUGAUAAUGCUGGGAUGUGAUGGGGAGCGAAAUUUAGUAGCGAAGUAGCUGAUUUCACACUGUCAAGAAAAGUCUCUAUCGAGGUUAAAGGUACCCGUACCGCAAACCGACACAGGUGGGUGAGGAGAGUAUCCUAAGGCCAGCGAGAGAACUGUUGUUAAGGAACUCGGCAAAAUGACCCCGUAACUUAGGGAUAAGGGGUGCCACCAUCAGGUGGCCGCAGAGAAUAGGCCCAAGCGACUGUUUACCAAAAACAUAGGUUUCUGCUAAGUCGCAAGACGAUGUAUAGGAGCUGACGCCUGCCCGGUGCUGGAAGGUUAAGGGGAUCUGUUAGAGCAAUCGAAGCAGUGAACUUAAGCCCCAGUAAACGGCGGCCGUAACUAUAACGGUCCUAAGGUAGCGAAAUUCCUUGUCGGGUAAGUUCCGACCCGCACGAAAGGCGUAACGAUUUGGGCACUGUCUCAACAACAGACUCGGUGAAAUUGUAAUUCCGGUGAAGAUGCCGGAUACCUGCGACAGGACGGAAAGACCCCAUGGAGCUUUACUGUAGCUUGACAUUGGGUCUUGGUACUACAUGUACAGGAUAGGUGGGAGCUUUGAAACCAGGACGCCAGUUUUGGCGGAGCCAUCCUUGGGAUACCACCCUUGUAGUACUGGGACUCUAACCAUAGGCCAUGAAUCUGGUCUUGGGACACUGUCAGGUGGGCAGUUUGACUGGGGCGGUCGCCUCCCAAAAGGUAACGGAGGCGCUCAAAGGUUCUCUCAGUACGGUCGGAAAUCGUACGUAGAGUGUAAAGGCAAAAGAGAGCUUGAUUGCAAGACAUACAGGUCGAGCAAGGAUGAAAAUCGGACUUAGUGAUCCGGUGGUUCUGCGUGGAAGGGCCAUCGCUCAACGGAUAAAAGCUACCCUGGGGAUAACAGGCUUAUCUCCCCCAAGAGUCCACAUCGACGGGGAGGUUUGGCACCUCGAUGUCGGCUCAUCACAUCCUGGGGCUGUAGUAGGUCCCAAGGGUUGGGCUGUUCGCCCAUUAAAGUGGUACGCGAGCUGGGUUCAGAACGUCGUGAGACAGUUCGGUCCCUAUCCGUCGCAGGCGUAGGAAAUUUGAGAAGACCUGUCCUUAGUACGAGAGGACCGGGAUGGACGUACCUCUGGUGUACCAGUUGU